CGGUCGAUGGAGAUGAUGCAGAGGCCCAUGAUGGACGCUGUGCAACACAGGACGUCCACCGCUGCCCAGAUGUUGCAGAAGACCCUGCCAAAGGCCCAGUAGCCCAGGAUCUCAAAGAUGGCCGAGAAGGGCAGCACUGUGGAGAUUGUUUUGCAAACUCCCAUCUGGUAGGUACCAGGGACAACAGGAGCAGGACACCUGUUUGCUGGCAAGUGGCAAAUGUUCUCGUAGGUUGACAUCUUCAGUGGGGAGACUCGCCUGGAAUGUUUUCAUUGCAAUGCUGAAGGUGCAAGGCUGGACUAUAUCCGACUGGGUUAUAAACACCAUUGAACUCCUCUUCCUCAGAGGCACAAUGCUGGGCUGCAUCCAACUGGUUUAUAAACACUACAGAGUGCUGUCUCCAGUAACCUUGCUCUAAGUAACAUGCAAACAGAACAGAACCGACAUCUUUGGCUCAGACAACGAUGACUCAAAGCAACAAGCUCCUGUCCCCAGGCUCCAGAGUUACAAUUGGUCAGAGAGCCAGACGGGGCUGCAGAGGGUCAUGACUGGUAAAUGCACAUGGAGACAGAAAGAAAAUGUUUCCCUUGCAGAAUGGGGAGGAAUUUAAUGGGAGCAUUAAACCCGCAAUAUCAU